AGUUCGGAUUGCAGGCUGCAACCCGCCUGCAUGAAGCCGGAAUCGCUAGUAAUCGCGGAUCAGAAUGCCGCGGUGAAUACGUUCCCGGGCCUUGUACACAUCGCCCGUCACACCAUGAGAGUUGGGAAUACCCGAAGCCUGUGAGCUAACGUAAGAGGCAGCAGUCGAAGGUAGAAUCAAUGAUUGGGGUGAAGUCGUAACAAGGUAUC
rnacentral:rRNA from 1 species